CCUACGGGCGGCAGCAGUGAGGAAUAUUGGUCAAUGGCCGCAGGGCUGAACCAGCCAAGUCGCGUGAGGGAUGAAGGUCCUAUGGAUUUUAAACCUCUUUUGUCAGGGAGCAAAGGGCGCCACGUGUCGUGUUUUGCGAGUACCUGAAGAAACAGCAUCGGCAAACUCCGUGCCAGCAGCCGCGGUAAUACGGAGGAUGCGAGCGUUAUCCGGAUUUAUUGGGUUUAAGGGGUGCGCAGUCGGAAUGUCAAGUCAGCGGUAAAAUUUCGGGGGUAAACCCCGUAGUGCCGUUGAAACUGGCGUUCUUGAGUGAGCGAGAGGUAUGUGGAAUGCGUGGUGUAGCGGUGAAAUGCAUAGAUAUCACGCAGAACACCGAUUGCGAAGGCAGCAUACCGGCGCUCAACUGACGCUCAUGCACGAAAGCGUGGGUAUCGAACAGGAUUAGAUACCCGUGUAGUC
rnacentral:rRNA from 1 species